GACGAACGCUGGCGGCGUGCUUAACACAUGCAAGUCGAACGGAAAGGCCCUGCUUUUGUUGGGUGCUCGAGUGGCGAACGGGUGAGUAACACGUGAGUAACCUGCCCUUGACUUUGGGAUAACUUCAGGAAACUGGGGCUAAUACCGGAUAGGAGCUCCUGCUGCAUGGUGGGGGUUGGAAAGUUUCGGCGGUUGGGGAUGGACUCGCGGCUUAUCAGCUUGUUGGUGGGGUAGUGGCUUACCAAGGCUUUGACGGGUAGUCGGCCUGAGAGGGUGACCGGCCACAUUGGGACUGAGAUACGGCGCAGACUCCUACGGGAGGCAGCAGUGGGGAAUAUUGCACAAUGGGCGGAAGCCUGAUGCAGCAACGCCGCGUGCGGGAUGACGGCCUUCGGGUUGUAAACCGCUUUCGCCUGUGACGAAGCGUGAGUGACGGUAAUGGGUAAAGAAGCACCGGCUAACUACGUG
rnacentral:rRNA from 1 species